rnacentral:rRNA from 1 species
GACGAACCGUGCGAACGUUAUUCGGAAUCACUGGGCUUAAAGCGCGUGUAGGCGGAUCGCCGCGUCGGCUGCUGAAAUCCCCCGGCUCAACCGGGGAACGGGCACCGAUACGGGCGGUCUCGAGGGGGGUAGGGGGGUCUGGAACUUCCGGUGGAGCGGUGAAAUGCGUUGAGAUCGGAAGGAACGCCCGUGGCGAAAGCGAGGCCCUGGACCCUUACUGACGCUGAGACGCGAAAGCCAGGGGAGCGAACGGG